rnacentral:rRNA from 1 species
CACGUAGGGUGCGAGCGUUGUCCGGAAUUAUUGGGCGUAAAGAGCUCGUAGGCGGCUUGUCGCGUCGGCUGUGAAAACCCACGGCUCAACUGUGGGCUUGCAGUCGAUACGGGCAGGCUAGAGUUCGGUAGGGGAGACUGGAAUUCCUGGUGUAGCGGUGAAAUGCGCAGAUAUCAGGAGGAACACCGGUGGCGAAGGCGGGUCUCUGGGCCGAUACUGACGCUGAGGAGCGAAAGCGUGGGGAGCGAACAGG